GCACUGCUGAAGAGUCCCAAAUUAGGACGAAACAGCUGUCCAGUAC
rnacentral:hammerhead_ribozyme from 1 species